UACGUAGGGCGCAAGCGUUGUCCGGAAUCAUUGGGCGUAAAGAGCUCGUAGGCGGCCUGUUGCGUCCGCUGUGAAAUCCCGGGGCUUAACCCCGGGCGUGCAGUGGAUACGGGCUGGCUGGAGGCAGGCAGGGGAGAACGGAAUCCCGGUGUAGCGGUGAAAUGCGCAGAUAUCGGGAGGAACACCGGUGGCGAAGGCGGUUCUCUGGGCCUGUACUGACGCUGAGGAGCGAAAGCGUGGGGAGCGAACAGG
rnacentral:rRNA from 1 species